CAAAUAUCCUGGCCCCAGGGCACACCUGAUCUCAGGCUUUCUCUUCAAGCACACCGUUCAUUAAUCUGUUAAAAGGCCUAGCUCAUGAUCCCUACCUUCACACUCACAUAAGAGAAGAGUGAAGUUUCGGGGACUCCACACCUCAAGGUAGUUCCACCGUGCGAGGUGCUGCGCUCACAGUAUUACUCAUGCACCUUUCUGAUAAGAAAAGUGAAAAUGUGAAGUUGAAAACUGAAGACGCCCAGCAACUUCCUGAAUCCAGCCCUCCACGUCCUGCCCUACGGGACGGACGACUCCCAAAGAGGAAUCGUUGGUGGAAGUCCCAUGUUUCGUUGCCGUUGGAAGGGGGAACUGGUCAAGGCAGGUUCGGUUUCAGGAUCUCACCUCACCUGGGAGCGGGGAGGUGACGGUCCCCCAGCGGGGCAGUCACGCCGCCCUGGCCUUGAGGCCGGACUCCACACUGCGCUUGGCUAGGGUGGUCCGUCCCUCUCUUGGCCACCUGUGUCGGGCAGCCUGACGCCGCAUCUUCCUGAGCAGCUGUCGGCGUUGCCGUGUGGCAGCCACGCUGUUGCAACAUGAGCGGCUGAGGUUUCUGAGGCCCCUCCGGCCAGAAGCUGGCCCAGGUGCUGUGGGCAAGACAUGUGCGAGAGACUGAAUUAGACCCCCUUGGAAAAAAAAACCACGCACACAAACACCAUCCUGCCUUUUUUUUUUUCAGGGCUCAUCUCUGGACCCACACCCCAUAACCAACAUGGAAGCCUGGAUUUGGCCCUGGAUCAGGCUGGCUCCCCAGGGAAGGGUCCAGUCUCUCCGGGGAGACAUCCCGACUUCGGGUCCUGCUUUCUCUACUGUAAUUCGAGGCUGGCCAUGCCCCUCAGUGGGCCUCAGUUUCCUCACCUGUACAGUGGGGAAAUCCAUAGGACCUACCUCCUGGGAGGGCACUGAGGACCGAGGGAAUGAAUGCCUGUCCAGUGCUCAUGAUCGUGACAAGCACUGCGCAGAAUAAAUCCGGAAUAAACGCUCACCGGGUGAGGGAGGGCAGGGAAGAUUUCUAAAAUCCCCCUGAUUUGAGAUGAGAUCUGAUUCACCCACUUAAAAAACCACAUUGGGAAAUAAUUUGAAAUGUACAGGAAAGUUGUAAGAAUCGCACAAAGAAUACUCCCAAACGUUUUGCCCAUACUCACCUGUUUUCUGUGGCAACUUUGAGACAGAAUUCACACGCCAUACAGUUGACCCAUCUCAACUGUACAAUUCAAUGGCCUUUCAUAGUCAGAGUUGUGCAACUGUCACCAGGGUCAAUUUUAGAACGUUUUCAUCACUCUCCUCUCACAAAAAACCCCUCACGUCCCUUGGCUGUCACUCUGCACCUAUUAAUAUUUUUUUGUGUUAAGACUUUUUCUUUGAGAUGGAGUCUCAGUCUGUUGCCCAGGCUGGAGUGCAGUGGCGUACAUCUCGGCUCACAGUAACCUCCACCUCCUGGGUUCAAGCGAUUCUCCUGCCUCAGCCUCCUGAGUAGCUGGGAUUACGGGUGCCCGCCUCCACGCCCGGCUAGUUUUUGUAUUUUUAGUAGAGACAGGGUUUCACCAUGUUGGUCAGGCUGGUCUCGAACUCCUGACCUCGUGAUCCACCUGCCUUGGCCCCACAAAGUGCUAGGAUUACAGGUGUGAAACACUAUGCCCGGUAAAUGUUAAGACUUUUAUGCAUCUUCUUGACCUGUGGUCUUCAGCAUUUGAGUCUUAGGGGACCUUUAAAAUAUUAAGAUAGGCCAGGCACAGUGGCUCAUGCCUGAAAUCCCAGAACUUUAGGAGGCUGUGGUGAGACGAUUGCUUGAAGCCAGGAGUUUGGGACGAGCCUGGGCAUCAUAGUGAGACCCCCAUCUUGGCAAAAAAGUAAACAUAAAAAAUAUUAGCUGGGCAUAGUGGCGAGCAUCUGUAGUUCUAGCUAAUUGGGAGGCUGAGGUGGCAGGAUCCCUUGAGCCCAAGAGUUCAAGAGUAUAGUGAGCUAUGAUUGUGCCACUGCACUCCAGCCUGGGCAAUAGAGUGAGACCCUGUUUCUAAAAAACAAAAGCCAUACUAAAAUACUCUGCAAAGACCUCAUAUUCAUUUAUUCACUCAACAAAUGUUUGUUGAGCACCUGUUUUAUGCCAAGUCCAAUACUAGGAGCUCUGGUUGCAACAGAGAGCAAAACAGACACGGCCCUGCCAGUCACCUGGGGCAGGGAAUCCCCCUGCCCCACUCCCUGCAAUAAUCGAUUGUAGAGAAGAAUUAGCAAAUCACAGCUGAGAAGGGUCUGCUGGAAAACACAGCAGAGGCCUUGACUUUGCCUGAUGAAUGGAGGUGGGCUUCCUGGCAGAGGGGCGUCUGUGGGUGAGGGAGGAAGUAGGACUGGCUGGUCAGAGGGGACGGCACACAGGAAGCUGCUGAGCAGGCAGGAGUGUGCUCCGUGGAGGAGCUAGGAGGAGGCCAGUUCUUAGCUGGAGGGUGGAGAAGGAGGGCUAAAGCCAAGCAUGCAGAGGCCGAGGGAUGUGCAGCGCCGGUCAGCCCACGUGAGAUCUUUCCUCCCUCUCCGUGGACUGGGAACCUCCAUAGUUACCACAUGCUGCGCUGACUUCUCUAACACGCUUUGGCCAAUGAUGUUUCCCUAAUCACAGCAGCUCCUCAUUUAGAAUGUGUUCUUAUUUAGGAUGCGUUCGAGUCUCUGUGAUCUGAACUCCACAUGAGGACUCCCUGGGUCCCUCAGGAACCCAUGUCCUACCAGUUAGACUCCCUUGUUUUAGACCCCUUAUUUCAGCAUUUUAUAAACUCUGUCCCGUAGGAUACUGACCCAUUUGCAACUUAGCCAAAAAAAUGAAAGUUAUGUAGCCAAACAAGCUUUGAAAAUACCCCAUUUCUUUCUGGACGUUUCACAAUGCACAGGAGCAUAUUAAAGGCUCUGAUAAGUCCUGCAGCAAAGAACCAAGUGCUUCCCAAAUGCAGUAGUUCAGGGAACCUCUUUGUUCCAUUACUCCCAUGAAGUUUACAAAACUAGUGCUAUGUGGAAAAUGCUUUGUAAAACACGGAUAAUUCUGCAAGUGAUCUGCCUGAGUGUGGAAUGCAGAUAUCCAGCCAGAGUCUGUAACUUCAGACAUGGUGUGGAAGGCCAAUGUGAAAAGCAGGAAUAGUAGAAUGGUUUUAAAAGGGUUCCCUCUAAUUACUCUUGAGUAGGAAAGUAGGAGCCGCCGACACCUGGGAACUGUCCUGGAGCCCCUGGCCGGGCUGGGCCAUUCUCCGGUUUGACAUAAACCAUCUCCCAGAACACCAGCUGCACAGAAGGUCACUCUGAGAUCACAGUAGUGAGACAAAGACAGGUCACGGUGUCACCCACAAACACCAAUUAUCCCCCUUUCCCCACUAAAAUGAAGAAUGGCUGUUUCUUGACCAAUCUCAGCUUUAUGCUGGUGCCCGUCUCCCCUCUCUAGAGGUGACAGUGAUUGAGGCACCCACUCAGAGAAUUGCCCCCUUUCUUUUGGCUUCUGGUCUACUGAGCCCCACUUCCCUAGACCUUCGCCUUCCCACUACCCACCCAAACCCCAAAUCCUACAGGGGCUCUUCCCAGCACCCUCUCACCCCGAAGUUCCUAUGGGGAGCGUCCACCCUCAUUGCAAGGUGGAAGAAACCUGGCUCUUCAACCAAAGGCCCCCAGGGGAGCGUGGCUGGAGGGCACGACACUCUCAAAAAUAUAUAAUUCUCUGAACAAAAUAUACCUCUGUUCCUUUACAAAUGAAGCAUCUGUUGAAAGUGUGUGGAACUUAUUUUGCAAAGAUAUUCCUUGUGAUAAGGCUUGAUUCCAGGUAACUCUUUUCAAAGUGAGUCACAGACCAGGAAGUCGUAUGGAAUGAGUGAUGGAAAGAUGUAUUUUACACGUUGCCCCUCAAGUCCAAACUUGAACUCAUGUCUCUCUGAACCAGAGUGGAGCUUCCUUCCAUUGCAGCCCCAUAUAUGCUGUCAGGGAGCUAGGGGGCCUGGGAGGGUGGCCACCCUGCACACCGUGUGUUACUGGGUGAGGAUUUGCACGUUUGUGGCUGAGGGGAAGACGUUCACGUUGGAUAGUUGUAAUUUCCAAUCCAGGCCCCAACUCUCUAUAACUGAGUGACUGUGGGUGAGUUUCUCCACGUUCCUGAACCUCAAUUUUCUCAUCUAUGAAGUGGGGAUGCCACUACAAAUCAGGUAGCACCUACAAAUCAGGUUUAAGGAUUUGAGUAGAUAACAUAUGUAAAGUGUUUAGCCAGUACCCUGCCAGCAAAUGGUGACCACCACUGUCACUGUUGUCACUGGUAUUAUCUAGUGGUCAAGGUCAGCGCAUCAGCCUUUGGUCAGUGUUCUUUCUCGGUUAGAGGACUUUUUGACCCCGGGUGUCCAUGAGGGUCACCUGGGGAACCUAAAAACAAUGGACUCCUGGGCUGGCCCCAAGUUUAGGGAGGAACUGGUCCUGG
rnacentral:lncRNA from 10 species